rnacentral:rRNA from 1 species
UACGAAGGGGGCGAGCGUUGUUCGGAAUUACUGGGCGUAAAGGGCGUGUAGGCGGUUUAUUAAGUCGGGCGUGAAAGCCCAGGGCUCAACCCUGGAACUGCGCCCGAGACUGGUAAGCUUGAGUUCGGAAGAGGUGCGUGGAAUUCCCAGUGGAGAGGUGAAAUUCGUAGAGAUUGGGAAGAACACCAGCGGCGAAGGCGGCGCACUGGUCCGAUACUGACGCUGAGGCGCGAAAGCGUGGGGAGCAAACAGG